GAGGGUGGAGCUCAGUGGUGAGUGCUUCCUCGCAAGCACAAGGUCCUGGGUUCAAUCCCCAGCGCCUCCA
rnacentral:tRNA from 1 species